rnacentral:rRNA from 1 species
UACGGAGGGUGCAAGCGUUAUCCGGAUUCACUGGGUUUAAAGGGUGCGUAGGUGGACAGGUAAGUCAGUGGUGAAAUCCCCGAGCUUAACUCGGGAACUGCCGUUGAUACUAUCUGUCUUGAAUAUCGCGGAGGUAAGCGGAAUAUGUCAUGUAGCGGUGAAAUGCUUAGAUAUGACAUAGAACACCGAUUGCGAAGGCAGCUUACUACACGAUCAUUGACACUGAGGCACGAAAGCGUGGGGAG